CGAUGGUCUAAACCCAGCUCACGUUCCCUAUUGGUGGGUGAACAAUCCAACACUUAAGGUAUCAACACUCUGAAUGUCAAAGUGAAGAAAUUCAACCAAGCGCGGGUAAACGGCGGGAGUAACUAUGACUCUCUUAAGGUAUCCAAAUGCCUCGUCAUCUAAUUAGUGACGCGAAUGAAUGGAUUAACGA
rnacentral:ncRNA from 1 species